UACGUAGGGUGCGAGCGUUAAUCGGAAUACUGGGCGUAAAGCGUGCGCAGGCGGUGAUGUAAGACAGUUGUGAAAUCCCCGGGCUCAACCUGGGAACUGCAUUUGUGACUGCAUCGCUGGAGUGCGGCAGAGGGGAUGGAAUUCCGCGUGUAGCAGUGAAAUGCGUAGAUAUCGAGGAGGAAUACCGAUGGCGAAGGCAGGUCUCUGGGCUGACACUGACGCUCAUGCACGAAGCGUGGG
rnacentral:rRNA from 1 species